rnacentral:lncRNA from 1 species
UACAAGUUAUUUUACUGCGUGUAGCUGCUCCCCAGGUUUCUGGAUGCCAUUGUUAAAAAAUAUCAUGACUUAGAUUUUAUCCCCGUGCUCCUGGAAUCCUCAGGUUUCUGUGACACAGAGUUCAAGUGAGAGUUCAAUCAUUCUAGGGACUACUCAGCACCACAGUAGCACCUACAGAGAUCAUCUGGAGGGAGUGAUUUUGUCUCAACAGACGGAUCUUCAAUGAAGAUGAAACAAAUCCAUUUUGGAGAGAGAUGUUAGAGAACUGAUGGCGUUCAGGACAUGCUACCCAAAAAUAAUGGUACCUUGGCACUUAAGAAAAGAGCAGAAGCAAGAGGGUUACUUUCACUUUCCCCAGAUCUUCUCUUCUGAGGCAGACCAUAAGACCUUCAUUCCAGAGGUGCCUUCCCUAUACCUGGAGGAAACAGACAUCCUUAUCUCUGAAGACACACGGACAGGGAAAAGAAUCUGAGCAAAUAGGCCUUGCUAAAACAUAUACCAACUGCAAGAAGAAAGAAGAAUAUGCCUGGUUUUGGGCCUGGCGCGGUGGCUCACGCCUGUAAUCCCAGUACUAUGGGAGGCUGAGGCGGGCAGAUCACCUGAGGUUGGGAGUUCGAGACCAGCCUGACCAACAUGGAGAAACCCCGUCUCUACUAAAAAUACAAAAAAUUAGCCCUGCGUGGUGGUGGCGCAUGCCUGUAAUCCCAGCUAUUCGGUAGGCUGAAGUAGGAGAAUCGCUUGAACCCAGGAGGUGGAGGUUGCGGUGAGCCGAGAUCGUGCCAUUGAUCUCCAGCCUGGGCAACAAGAGCAAAACUCUGUCUAAAAAAAAUAAAUAAAUAAUAAAAAUAAAAACAGUAUGCCUGGUUUUAAAGCUUCAA